GCGUAUUCUCCAAGAAGUAAUUCUUGAGGAAUAGCUAUUUAAAUCUAAUCCAAGGAAUAAUUCCUUCGUCUACUCGACCCCUAUUGGCUUUCCACCAAUAGUUAGCUCCUCCUUUCAUCAUGAAAGUGGCAAAACUCAUCUUCUAUGCUUCGGCCACACGUGCAACCUCAAACACAUUCUUCAUCUCUUCUAUCCAUGUCUGGGCUUCAAUUGGGUCCAGGGUUCCUCGGAACUCCGGUG
rnacentral:lncRNA from 1 species